GGGACUGAAGAACCCAGUUAAAAAUGGAAGGAAAAACAUCCACCCAAUUUAAACAGUUUAUGCAUUUAUGUAAAAUCAGGUACGAGGGUGGCCCUGCUGUCUGGAUACCCCAGGAAGCUCUGGGAAGGUGUCUACGUGGACACCUUGGUCGGAAUGGUCACUGGAGAAGUGUCCACAGGCCUGGCCUCUCCUGGAUGGCUCUGCCCCGGGUACUCCUGACCCCUUGGUCAUCACGGCUCUGGGUUCCCACAACACUAAAGAGAAUGUGGACCUAACACAAUGGCUUCACUCACGUGGGUCUAGGACUGCGCCAAGCCUUUGCACACGAGAGCAUUUCACUUUGAAAGUUGUUUUGAUCGUGUCGUGUCCUGUAAAACCUUCGUAAAAAUCUUAGCUGUGACCGUUUCAUGUGACAGAUUCCCUCCCAUUAAGAACUAUAUUAGUCCCUCUUUUAGAAAAUCCCCGGUUGUUUUGUACAGUCUGCCUUCUCUCUCUGCUCCUAGCAUCGCUUUACGCCUAGUGCUUUCGCUCCUAGGAACACAUGGGCUUUCCAUACGGAGACCACUCAGCAGGGGCCAGCUCUGAAUGACGUCUGGACUUUCUGGACGGCCUCUCCCUCUGCUUCGGGAAGCUCUGUAGUUAGACAAGUGCUAUAGGUGAUGAAAGGAAGGAAGCUAUUACAAGCUGGACUCUGGUCGCGGGUCUGCUGGAGGCUUGUGCAAAGGCCGGUCACUCUACGGCUGCUGUCAUUUGGACGUGACAUUUACAGAGAAGCGGUCCAGCAUACCAGCAGGGCCUCCAAACACACUGGAGCAUGAAAAGAUACAUUUUUUAGACACCAGCACAGGGUGUGUGGGAGGACAGGCAGUUGACUUAAAAGAGGUGUGGGCUGGGGCUGUCUAGGUAAAUGAUGACUGGCAAGCUUGCCAGAAAUGGAUUAACGCCCUAGAAUCCCCAGGACUUUCCUUCUAAAGUCAGGUAGUGAAGUGGCUGUUUGGUUUCCUUAAUGCUGGCUACCUACUUGGGGAACAUGGCUGCUCAUUAAAACAUUCAGCACAAGGGCAAACAGUGAGUGGCCCACGAGAGCCACCCUGGUACCUAGGAGUCCUGUGUCUAUAAAAGCACAUGGUCUAGACUUGCUUUUGGACAGAAACCCGAGGAUGAAAGGUGCCAACAGGCAGCCAUGACUAGUUGAUCAUGGUAUCUUGGUGUCAAUCAUGGUCUCUUUAGUUGAUUGUUUCUGCCUCCCUACUCCCCAGUCAUGGAUGUUUUGGGAGCCUCUGCAGUCAAGACAGAGCUUUUGGUGUUGCAGGGGUUGUUGCUUUCAAGAGAUACAAAUGCUGAUGGCAGAAGGACUUCCCUUUAAGUUACAGGGCUGGCACACAUAACUGCAGAGUCCUGGCAAAUGCUGAAAUGACCCUGUCACUAGAAUGGCUGUGUUGCUAAUGCCAGUCGGCCAAUACGUGACUGCUCAUUUUCUCUCUUUCUCUUUGCCUCUCUGUCCAAAAUGCACUCUGUAAGAGGAGAUGCAUUGGAACCACAUUGGAAAAAACAAAACAAAACACCAAGUCAACUUAGUCUGACAGGAGAACACAUAUAUUAGCUGUAGAAAUACUAAAACUCUAAGCCAAAAACUGGCUCCACUCCUAGGAUACCAACGUAGUGAGUGCUCUGGGGGCCACCUCUCUAUGUUUAGGUUUGAAAAUAGAGAAGAUUAUCAUCAGUCUUGAGCAAGUCAGGAACUGACUUGGAGUGGGGAGGGGAGAAUUUAAAACAAACUAUCUUCUCAAGGCAUAUGGCUUUCUGUAGCUAGGAAUUCAGUGAACACCUGGAAGAGGAGUGAGCUGAUCCCAACACCAAAAAAAAAACCCUCGGGCUACGUAAGCCCACUUGAUCUCAGGGCCUUCCAAAAGAAACACGAGGGAAAGUUCCCAGAAUUUGGUCCACAGCCUUCCCCUCCGAUACCCAGUUCACACCCCUAGAAGCCUAUGGCAGCAGAGGGAAGGUGGGGGGCAUACACAGUGGAGUGGGGAAAGCCCGUUUUCAGUCUUCCAGUCCCUUCUCAUCUGUUGGCUCACAUUCUGAACAGUGUCUCCAGUUCUGCAGCUGACGGUGAGGGGAGCUGGUGGGGGAAGGGAGGGAGGGCAGCCACCUGUCACUGCCCAGCACAGCCCAGAGAAGCCGUCAAGGGGUCUACCUAAAAAGGGCCACUGGAGCAGCUCCAUGUCCCCCGGCUUCAGAUCAGGGCCAUGUGAGGAGCAGGGACCUGCUUCCGGGGGGUCAAGCUGGGGCCGACGGUUGACAGGAACGCUCCAGAGAGCAACU
ensembl:lncRNA